GGCGCCACCCCAUUCUUUUCCUAUCGAUUCUGAUGAUGCCGAAGCGAGACGUUCUGUAGCUCCUUGGCAACCUCUGGGCUAGAGUGCUGUGGCCUCCGCCUAGCCAGAAACCUCCAACUCCUGCAUUCAAGUGAUCUCCCGCCUCAUUUCCUAUAUUUCCUACUCAGAAUAGUGGAAAUACAGAUGUGAGCCACCACCUCUGGCCUUUACGCAUUUAUUAAAGCUGUAAAAUUCCA